rnacentral:ncRNA from 1 species
GCAGAUCAGCAUUGCUGCGGUGAAUACGUUCCCGGGCCGUUCGUACACACCGCCCGUCACGUCACGAAAAGUCGGUAACACCCGAAGCCGGUGGCCCAACCCCCUUGUGGGAGGGAGCUGUCGAAGGUGGGACUGGCGAUUGGGACGAAGUCGUAACAAGGUAGCCGUACCGAAGGUGCGGCUGGAUCACCUCCUUU